rnacentral:misc_RNA from 1 species
CUUGAGCAUUUACAGAUUUGAACUCAUAUGAAAUUAUAGCUUAUAUUUCCAUUCUAAGAAUCUCGAUGAAAUCUUGAAGCGGAGAAUCUCAAUAAGCCUACUUGUUAUUGAUCUGAUUGCUAGGAUUUAUUAUUGUUGGGGUUUUAUAUUUAUAAAGAGUGUUGUAAUCUUCUGUUUCUAAUUGUGAAGAAAUAUGGAAUACGAUCAUCGCUCUAUGGCUUUUUUGGAGACCAUGAAUGCCUAAUUUCUCUCUCUUGCUGUCUCACUUACUCACUCACUCUAUCUUCCCCCUUCCUUCCUCUUUCUGUGUUUCUUAAUCUUUUGGCAUUCUUUUCACACAAUAAAUAUUUAUAAUUCCUAAGUUCUAAAUUGGAGCCUUAUUUUUUUCCUUCUCUAAUCCUCUUUUUUUUGCAAGACAGCUUAUUAGCUUAAAAG